rnacentral:rRNA from 1 species
GAACUUAAGCAUAUCAAUAAGGCGAGGAACAGAAACCAACUGGGAUUCCCCUAGUAGUGGCGAAUGAAGCGGGAAAAGCUCAAGUUUGAAAUCCGGCGGGUGACUUCCGGAGUUGUAAGCUGAUGAGGUAUCGACCGACGUGGUCCGGGCCCAAUUUCCUUGGAACAGGAGGUCAUGGAGGGUGAGAACCCCGUCCGUGGCUCGGGUGCCAUCGUCCUUGUGUCGUGUCCUCUAAGAGUCGGGUUGUUUGGGAAUGCAGCUCAAAAUGGGUGGUAAAUUUCAUCUAAAGCUAAAUACUGGCGAGAGACCGAUAGCAAACAAGUAGAGUGAUCGAAAGAUGAAAAGUACUUUGAAAAGAGAGUGAAACAGUACGUGAAAUUGUUGAAAGGGAAGCGUUUGGCAUCAGCCCUUGGCGUCCGUCGAACAUCCAGGCUUCUGCCAGGUGCACUCGUCGGCCGUCGGGCCAGCGUCGGCUCUGCCUGUCGGANAAAGGUCCGAGGGAUGUGGCUCACCUUCGAGCGUUAUAACCUCGGGCGUCAUGCGAUAUGGUGGGGCCGAGGUCUGCGGACUCUGUCCUAGGACGCUGGCGUAAUGGUUCCAAGCGACCCGUCUUGAAACACGGACCAAGGAGUCUAACAUCUAUGCGAGUGUUUGGGUGUCAAGCCCGUCCGCGCAAUGAAAGUGAAUGCAGGCGGGAGCCGUAAAAGGUGCACCGCCGACCGGUCCGGGGGUUUACCGAAGGAUCCGAGUAAGAGCAUAGCUGUUGGGACCCGAAA